rnacentral:rRNA from 1 species
GAUGAACGCUGGCGGCGUGCUUAACACAUGCAAGUCGAACGGAAAGGCCGAAGCUUGCUUCGGUACUCGAGUGGCGAACGGGUGAGUAACACGUGGGUGAUCUGCCCUGUACUUCGGGAUAAGCUUGGGAAACUGGGUCUAAUACCGGAUAUGACGAUCUCUUGGAUGGGGUUGUGGAAAGCUUUUGCGGUAUGGGAUGAGCUCGCGGCCUAUCAGCUUGUUGGUGGGGUAAUGGCCUACCAAGGCGUCGACGGGUAGCCGGCCUGAGAGGGUGUACGGCCACAUUGGGACUGAGAUACGGCCCAGACUCCUACGGGAGGCAGCAAUGGGGAAUACUGCACAAUGGGCGCAAGCCUGAUGCAGCGACGCCGCGUGGGGGAUGACGGCCUUCGGGUUGUAAACUCCUUUCGCAAUCGACGAAGCCUUUUGGUGACGGUAGGUUGAGAAGAAGCACCGGCUAACUACGUG